AAGGAGGAAGGGAGGGAAGAAAAUAAUAGAAAAGAGGUUUUCAAGAGAAAAUAUAGAAUGGUGACUGGAAGAAUUACCAGUCUAGCAUUAAUUAGAAUCUGGCUUUUAGACCUGAGGCACACACUAGCUGUGACUGAUACACAUCUUAACUCAGGAAAUGCAGCAUGACUGACGUUUUGGUUGAGAUCAUUUUUAGUAAUGGAGACUGUCUUGCGCUUUACAGAAUGUUUGGCAGCAUCCCUGGCCUCUAUCCAGGGUGCUAGCAGCACCCUACACUCCUCAACUCUUGAGGCAACCAGAAAUAUCUCCAGACGUUGCCCUGGGAUGCAAAAUCAUGUUUUUGUUGAGAACCAGUGCCUUAAGCCCUAACGAAACUUAGUGAAACAUCUAUGAGGUGAAACUAAUGAGAGUAGAGAGCUGCUGUUGUUGGUAUACGGUGAAAUAAUGCAUUUGAAAGACUAGUUUGCAAUAUACAUAUAAGGCAUUAUUAUUUUAUAGACAUAUUUAUUUAUUCACGUAUUUAAGAUCUCUUCAUGGGGAGCUGGGGACUCAGCAGGUCUCAGCUGGCAGAAUACGAUGAAGCUGUUUAGGAGAAAUGUAUCCUCUUUCUUUUCAACUGUAAUAUCAAGAGUUACGAAUUUACAGACACGUCAAUGUUUUAACCCCCUGCAUAACAAGUUAACAAAAGGAUUCAGGUGCUGAACAGGGCUUUGAUCCAAAUGACCAUUGAAGUUGAUUUCAGCUUUGAAGAUCCUUUGAAAAUAAGAAAAUUAGAAUGGGAUUAAUAUUUCUAGAAUAAUCAAUAUCCUCUUAGGAAGUCACAGAAGCUUGAAGAUUUUCCCGGUGUUUUCC
rnacentral:lncRNA from 1 species